rnacentral:rRNA from 1 species
AACGAACGCUGGCGGCAGGCCUAACACAUGCAAGUCGAACGCACCGCAAGGUGAGUGGCGCACGGGUGAGUAACACGUGGGAAUGUACCCUUUGGUUCGGAAUAACGUUUGGAAACGAACGCUAAUACCGGAUGAGCCCUGUGGGGGAAAGAUUUAUCGCCAAAGGAGCAGCCCGCGUCUGAUUAGCUAGUUGGUGGGGUAAAGGCCUACCAAGGCGACGAUCAGUAGCUGGUCUGAGAGGAUGAUCAGCCACACUGGGACUGAGACACGGCCCAGACUCCUACGGGAGGCAGCAGUGGGGAAUAUUGGACAAUGGGCGCAAGCCUGAUCCAGCCAUGCCGCGUGAGUGAUGAAGGCCUUCGGGUUGUAAAGCUCUUUCGUACACGACGAUGAUGACGGUAGUGUGAGAAGAAGCCCCGGCUAACUUCGUGCCAGCAGCCGCGGUAACAC